CACGAACUCCCUCCGUCCGAAAAAGCUUGUCCCUCAAAUGGAUGUAUCUAGCACCAAGUUAGUGCUAGAUACAUCCAUUUGAGGGACAAGCUUGGGACAAGCUUUUUUGGACGGAGGGAGUAAGAA
rfam:Triticum aestivum genome assembly, contig: Triticum_aestivum_CS42_TGACv1_scaffold_580101_7BL